rnacentral:rRNA from 1 species
UACGGGGGGGGCAAGCGUUGUUCGGAAUUACUGGGCGUAAAGGGCUCGUAGGCGGCCAACUAAGUCAGACGUGAAAUCCCUCGGCUUAACCGGGGAACUGCGUCUGAUACUGGAUGGCUUGAGGUUGGGAGAGGGAUGCGGAAUUCCAGGUGUAGCGGUGAAAUGCGUAGAGAUCAUGAGGAAGACCAGUGGCGAAGGCGGGUCUCUGGACAGUUCCUGACACUGAGGCACGAAGGCCAGGGGAGCAAACGGG